rnacentral:tRNA from 1 species
GGAAGCUGUAGCUCAAUGGGAAAGCGCUUGCCUAGCAUGUGUGAGGUACUGGGUUCAACACUCAGCACCA